UUCUAUAAAAAAUGUUCAGGUUGUGCUGUCAGACCCAGUCGGACCUUACCGAAGAAGUAGUAAACAGGGCAUAGGCUAUGUAUACUCGACAUAAAACCGAAACGAACGUUUUUAACGACAGCUAUUUUAUCUAAUCCAAGAGAUCUUCAGACUUUCUAAGGUAUAUUUAAGCGUUUUAACAGUUUAAACGGAAACGGUGGAAACAGCAAUAAUCGAGCCGCCUAUUGCUGUUUUCAUGGCAUUAAUACAGAACAUAAUAUUGUUUUGUUAACGCACUAAUUUACCGACAAUC